rnacentral:lncRNA from 1 species
CCGACAGAAGACAGCAAACAACUGGAGUUUGCCCGAUAAAUAUCACCACAACUGUAUAUACAUUAAACAGAACUGCUAUUGUAAGUUAGGGUUGAACCCUACUACUCUGAGUUGGUCUUAACCGAAGCUGCAGCAACAGUCGAGACCAUGGAGUCCACGCCACAGAUGUUUCGGCCCCUGCAGAUUUUGUAGAAUCCACUCUCUCCCCAGUUCUCUCCCCAUGAGUUCUUAAUAAUCCAGUAUGGCUUCUCCUUCAAUCUGAUGGGAGAAUACCCAGCUGCACCAUAACCUACGAGUAACACUCCGUGAUCCAACCGCUUUGAGCAUAUGUAGGGGCAUGACACUCCACCAACAUAUGUUUGCAUGAACACCGCAUUAAUAGCCACUGCAUUCGAGCAAUGUAAAAUUAUUAGCACCAGCCAAUCCUAUUAGAGCUUAUACCACAUUUGAGAAGAAGCAACGCUCUCAAGGGAGAUACAAAUAACAAAUAAUUUUUUUAACAGAAACAAAGGAAGAAUCAAAAUCACAUAUUUUUAAAGGUAAUUACCAGCAAGAGGGCCAUUUUUGAC